rnacentral:lncRNA from 1 species
CCGGUUUUAAUUCAAGUUAUCGAAUUUAUGACUCGUGUUUUAAUUCACUUGGUCGAGGUUAACUAUCAUUAUCGAAACAAUUCACAUUAUCGACCGUUAAUGCAUUAUCAAAAAAGUAACCAUCAUUAUCUGCGCGCGAGUCACAUUAAUUAGAUCAUCUAUGAUGGUCGAACGUACAGUAUACUUUACGCCGACUAUCUAU